rnacentral:rRNA from 1 species
UACGAAGGGGGCUAGCGUUGCUCGGAAUCACUGGGCGUAAAGCGCACGUAGGCGGAUCUUUAAGUCAGGGGUGAAAUCCUGGAGCUCAACUCCAGAACUGCCUUUGAUACUGGGAGUCUCUAGUUCCGGGAGAGGUGAGUGGAACUGCGAGUGUAGAGGUGAAAUUCGUAGAUAUUCGCAAGAACACCAGUGGCGAAGGCGGCUCACUGGCCCGAUACUGACGCUGAGGCACGAAAGCGUGGGGAGCAAACAGG